rnacentral:rRNA from 1 species
CGGCAGCACGGGUGCUUGCACCUGGUGGCGAGUGGCGAACGGGUGAGUAAUAUAUCGGAACGUGCCUUAUAGUGGGGGAUAACGCAGCGAAAGUUGCGCUAAUACCGCAUACGCCCUAAGGGGGAAAGCGGGGGAUCGUAAGACCUCGCGCUAUUAGAGCGGCCGAUAUCUGAUUAGCUAGUUGGUGAGGUAAAGGCUCACCAAGGCGACGAUCAGUAGCUGGUCUGAGAGGACGAUCAGCCACACUGGGACUGAGACACGGCCCAGACUCCUACGGGAGGCAGCAAUGGGGAAUUUUGGACAAUGGGGGCAACCCUGAUCCAGCAAUGCCGCGUGAGUGAAGAAGGCCUUCGGGUUGUAAAGCUCUUUUGUCAGGGAAGAAACAGCAUCUCUAAUACAGAUUGCGAAUGACGGUACCUG